CCUACGGGAGGCAGCAGUGGGGAAUAUUGGGCAAUGGGCGCAAGCCUGACCCAGCAACGCCGCGUGAAGGAAGAAGGCUUUCGGGUUGUAAACUUCUUUUAAGAGGGAAGAGCAGAAGACGGUACCUCGGGAAUAAGCCACGGCUAACUACGGGCCAGCAGCCGCGGUAAUACGUAGGUGGCAAGCGUUGUCCGGAUUUACUGGGUGUAAAGGGCGGGUAGCCGGGCGGACAAGUAAGAUGUGAAAUUCCGGGGCUCAACCCCGGACCUGCCUUGGAAACUGUUGGUCUUGAGUAUCGGCGCGGCUGGCGGACUUCCUAGUGUCGCGGUGCCAUGCGUAGAUAUUAGGCGGAACACCAGUGGCGACGGCGGCCUGCUGGACGACACCUGACGGUGAGGCUCGAACGCGUGGGGAGCAAACAGGAUUAGAUACCCCUGUAGUC
rnacentral:rRNA from 1 species